AAUAGUUUUAUGCCACAUCAGUACUCUUAUCCUGAAUUUCAAGAUUUUAUCCUGAAAAAAAUCAAAUCCAAAUUAAAAUACUAAAAUUCAGGAUAAGAAUACUGAUGUGGCAUAAAACUAUU
rnacentral:pre_miRNA from 1 species